GCCGGAGUGGUGGAACAGGUAGACGCGCGGGAUUCAAAAUCCCGUGGGAGCAAUCUCGUGAGGGUUCGAGCCCCUCCUCCGGCACCA
rnacentral:tRNA from 1 species